GUUCUAAAAAAGUGACUGGAAGAAGAAAAAUCAAGUCAAGGAAAGGAAACUACAACUUCUUGGGGGCCCCCCGAAGGCAGUCGGCAGUCGGCAGUCGAUACCCAAGUGGAAGUCAAAGUCAGAACGACUCCACCCCCGUACCCUGGAACCCGGAACCCCCAUGGAAACUCAGCAUAACCGAGGAGCUGGAGGAACCACAAAGGCAACAUGUUGCACAUGCACUCGCCAAAAGCAAUUUGCAUACAAAUGUUGCCAACGCACUUCACAAAACUGCACAAUCACAGUGACGCUCAGUGCAUUGAUGGCUAUAGGGUUAGCGGGGGACGCUGCAGCACCGGAUGAGGGUAAAACGCCGCUUCAUAAUUUGAUAUUAAACAUGCACGCGUCUCUGUUCCUCUCCUUUUUCCUCUCAUGUGUGUGUACAGCUUGUAAAUUUGCAAAUUGCUAAAAUGCAUGAAAGGAACAAAGGAGAUGAGAGGGGCAACAGCAGCCAAACGGGGAUUCUCAGGGCAGCUGCGUGAAUUUGCAUUUACAUGAAGGAACCGUACAGGACAGGAAAGGCCCCUCCAAAAAGUUACCCAAAAAAUUUCAGACUACAAAAAAUAAUAAAACCGAAGUCUGCUCAAUUGACUUUCAAUUGCAAAACAAAUAAAAUACACUGAAGGAAAAGGGGAUUACGUUAAAAUAUAAAAGAAACAACAAUUUUAGAAUAUUAAAUGCAUUAAAUUAUAAAUGAAAUAGCUAUUUCAGAAAACUAA